AUAAGAUAUCAAGGGCAACAGGUGAAUGCCUUGGCGCUGAGAGGCGAUGAAAGACGCGGUAAGCUGCGAUAAGCAUCGGGGAGGAGCUAAACAUCCUACGAUCCGAUGAUUUCUGAAUGGGGAAACCCGAUGGGAGUCAUGUCCCGUCAUCCUGAGCUGAAUAUAUAGGCCCAGAGAAGCCAACCCGGGGAAGGGAAACAUCUCAGUACCCGGAGGAAGAGAAAUCAAACGAGACUCCCAAAGUAGCGGCGAGCGAAAUGGGAAGAGCCCAAACCGGGUGGUUUCGACCAUUCGGGGUUGUAGGGCCGGCAUACGCGAUUCUGGAGUAGGCAGAGGAAGUGAGCUGGAAAGCUCCGCCACAGCGGGUGAUAGCCCCGUACUCGAAACCGAAAAGGACGCAGCCGGUACCUGAGUACUGCGAGGCACGUGGAACCUCGUGGGAAUCUAGGGGGACCAGCGACCGAUAGUGAACUAGUACCGUGAGGGAAAGGUGAAAAGAACCCCUGUUAGGGGAGUGAAAUAGAAUCUGAAACCUGUUGCCUACAAGCUGCGAGAGCUGCUUCGGCAGUGAUCGCGUGCCUUUUGUAUAAUGAGUCAGCGAGUUACUCUACCGUGCGAGGUUAAGCGAAAGCGUAGCCGUAGUGAAAGCGAGGCUUAAUAGGCCGACUAGUACGUUGGAGUAGACCCGAAACCGGGUGAUCUAUCCAUGAGCAGGUUGAAGCAAGGGUAAAGCCUUGUGGAGGACCGAACCGUCAACGGCUGAAAACGUUCCGGAUGACUUGUGGAUAGGGGUGAAAGGUCAAUCAAACCCGGUGAUAGCUGGUUCUCCCCGAAAUAUAUUGAGGUAUAGCCUCGGGAAUUGAUUAGCGGAGGUAAAGCACUGACAGAGCUAGGGGUCCUACCAGAUUACCAAACUCUAUCAAACUCAGAAUGCCGCUUAAUCGUAUCCCGGGAGUCAGACGGCGGGUGCGAAGGUUCGUCGUCAAAAGGGAAACAGCCCAGACCAACAGCUAAGGUCUCCAAAUCCAUGCUCAGUGGUGAAGGUAGUGGAACCGUUUAGACAGCCAGGACGUUGGCUUAGAAGCAGCCAUCGUUUAAAGAAAGCGUAAUAGCUCACUGGUCUAAUGGCUCUGCGCCGAAAAUGUAACGGGGCUAAGCAUGGUACCGAAGCUUUGGCAAUCCCCUUUGGGGAUUGGGUAGGGGAGCGUUCGCUGCGGGCUGAAGGUGUGUCGGAAGGCAUGCUGGACUGCAGUGAAGUGAUUAUGCUGACAUGAGUAACGAUAAAAUAUGUGAAAAACAUAUUCGCCGAAAACCCGAGGUUUCCUGGGUAAAGGUAAUCUUCCCAGGGUUAGUCGGAUCCUAAGGUGAGGGUGAAAGCCGUAACCGAUGGAAAACAGGUUAAUAUUCCUGUACUUGUUGUGUAGCGCGAUGGAGGGACGCAGGAAGAUAGGCGGGCCGGGUGUUGGAUAUCCCGGUGCAAGCGUGUAGGAAUAUCCGGUAGGCAAAUCCGCCGGACGAAUCUGAGACGCGAGUCCGUGGGCGCAAGCCCUGAAGCCGUUGAGUCUAUGCUGCCUAGAAAAGCUCCUAAGUUUAUCCACAGCAAUCCGUACCGCAAACCAACUCAGGUGGGUGGGAUGAACAAUCCAAGGCGCUCGAGAGAACUCUGGCCAAGGAACUCGGCAAAAUGACCCCGUAACUUCGGAAGAAGGGGUGCUCUCUAGGGUGACAUGUUUAACAUAUGAAGCCCCGGGGAGCCGCAGUGAAUUGGUGGUGGCGACUGUUUACUAAAAACAUAGGUCUGUGCGAAGUCCUAAAGACGACGUAUACGGACUGACGCCUGCCCGGUGCUGGAAGGUUAAAAGGAGGGGUCAGCGCAAGCAAAGCUCCGAAUUGAAGCCCCAGUAAACGGCGGCCGUAACUAUAACGGUCCUAAGGUAGCGAAAUUCCUUGUCGGGUAAGUUCCG
rnacentral:rRNA from 1 species